rnacentral:rRNA from 1 species
AUUGAACGCUGGCGGCAGGCCUAACACAUGCAAGUCGAGCGGAUGAAGGGAGCUUGCUCCUGGAUUCAGCGGCGGACGGGUGAGCAAUGCCUAGGAAUCUGCCUGGUAGUGGGGGAUAGCGUCCGGAAACGGGCGCUAAUACCGCAUACGUCCUGAGGGAGAAAGUGGGGGAUCUUCGGACCUCACGCUAUCAGAUGAGCCUAGGUCGGAUUAGCUAGUUGGUGGGGUAAAGGCCUACCAAGGCGACGAUCCGUAACUGGUCUGAGAGGAUGAUCAGUCACACUGGAACUGAGACACGGUCCAGACUCCUACGGGAGGCAGCAGUGGGGAAUAUUGGACAAUGGGCGAAAGCCUGAUCCAGCCAUGCCGCGUGUGUGAAGAAGGUCUUCGGAUUGUAAAGCACUUUAAGUUGGGAGGAAGGGCAGUAAGUUAAUACCUUGCUGUUUUGACGUUACCAACAGAAUAAGCACCGGCUAACUUCGUG